GUGCUCACUUAGACAGCACAUAUACUAAAAUUGAAACAAUACAGAGAAGAAUAGCAUGGCCCCUGCACAAGGAUGACACACAAAUUCAUGAAGUGUUCCAUAUUAAA
ensembl:snRNA U6 U6 spliceosomal RNA